rnacentral:lncRNA from 1 species
GAAUAUGAGUGAUCUAGAUGGAAUUUAACCCUCCUAUUUAUUAGGGGUGAUAUCCAUAGGCCUCUUGAUUGAGUAGGACUAUGAAAUGCAUGGCCAUGCUCAAAUAGUGAUUUGUUUCAUAUAGUCUACUCAUUGAUCAAGAAAAACUCAGAUUAAAUUAUGAAGAGUAUGACACAUUCCAUGACUCGAGUUUAAUCUAGGAUAUUAAGGUUAAAAGGAUUAAAUUACAU